GGCUCAGGACGAACGCUGGCGGCGUGCCUAAUACAUGCAAGUCGAACGAACUCUGGUAUUGAUUGGUGCUUGCAUCAUGAUUUACAUUUGAGUGAGUGGCGAACUGGUGAGUAACACGUGGGAAACCUGCCCAGAAGCGGGGGAUAACACCUGGAAACAGAUGCUAAUACCGCAUAACAACUUGGACCGCAUGGUCCGAGUUUGAAAGAUGGCUUCGGCUAUCACUUUUGGAUGGUCCCGCGGCGUAUUAGCUAGAUGGUGGGGUAACGGCUCACCAUGGCAAUGAUACGUAGCCGACCUGAGAGGGUAAUCGGCCACAUUGGGACUGAGACACGGCCCAAACUCCUACGGGAGGCAGCAGUAGGGAAUCUUCCACAAUGGACGAAAGUCUGAUGGAGCAACGCCGCGUGAGUGAAGAAGGGUUUCGGCUCGUAAAACUCUGUUGUUAAAGAAGAACAUAUCUGAGAGUAACUGUUCAGGUAUUGACGGUAUUUAACCAGAAAGCCACGGCUAACUACGUGCCAGCAGCCGCGGUAAUACGUAGGUGGCAAGCGUUGUCCGGAUUUAUUGGGCGUAAAGCGAGCGCAGGCGGUUUUUUAAGUCUGAUGUGAAAGCCUUCGGCUCAACCGAAGAAGUGCAUCGGAAACUGGGAAACUUGAGUGCAGAAGAGGACAGUGGAACUCCAUGUGUAGCGGUGAAAUGCGUAGAUAUAUGGAAGAACACCAGUGGCGAAGGCGGCUGUCUGGUCUGUAACUGACGCUGAGGCUCGAAAGUAUGGGUAGCAAACAGGAUUAGAUACCCUGGUAGUCCAUACCGUAAACGAUGAAUGCUAAGUGUUGGAGGGUUUCCGCCCUUCAGUGCUGCAGCUAACGCAUUAAGCAUUCCGCCUGGGGAGUACGGCCGCAAGGCUGAAACUCAAAGGAAUUGACGGGGGCCCGCACAAGCGGUGGAGCAUGUGGUUUAAUUCGAAGCUACGCGAAGAACCUUACCAGGUCUUGACAUACUAUGCAAAUCUAAGAGAUUAGACGUUCCCUUCGGGGACAUGGAUACAGGUGGUGCAUGGUUGUCGUCAGCUCGUGUCGUGAGAUGUUGGGUUAAGUCCCGCAACGAGCGCAACCCUUAUUAUCAGUUGCCAGCAUUAAGUUGGGCACUCUGGUGAGACUGCCGGUGACAAACCGGAGGAAGGUGGGGAUGACGUCAAAUCAUCAUGCCCCUUAUGACCUGGGCUACACACGUGCUACAAUGGAUGGUACAACGAGUUGCGAACUCGCGAGAGUAAGCUAAUCUCUUAAAGCCAUUCUCAGUUCGGAUUGUAGGCUGCAACUCGCCUACAUGAAGUCGGAAUCGCUAGUAAUCGCGGAUCAGCAUGCCGCGGUGAAUACGUUCCCGGGCCUUGUACACACCGCCCGUCACACCAUGAGAGUUUGUAACACCCAAAGUCGGUGGGGUAACCUUUUAGGAACCAGCCGCCUAAGGUGGGACAGAUGAUUAGGGUG
rnacentral:rRNA from 1 species